GCCAUAGAGACGCGUCCCGGGCCGGAGGAGCGGGCCAUGCCAGGGGCACGGCGCCUGCCACCCAUCCAGGCACGGGGCCAGGCCGGUGGCCCACAGGCAGGGGCGCAAGGCGCUGCCAGGCAGGAGGGGAGGAAGAAGCAGCAGAAGCGGGUGCCUGCAGCAGGGCAGGGGGGCAGCGGGCUGGGCAGCCGCCCCCCUGCCUCGGGGGAGACGGCAAAUAAACAUCAUGGGAAAAGCAGGAAGCAGCAGCAGCAAACCCAACUGCUUGAAGUUUCGCGUCUCAGCAAGAAUACUGGCCUGACCCCAGACCCUGCAAAGGGAAUUCAGCCUGCUGCAGAAAUGAACACGUCUGUGUUACCAACUUCCACCAUUUCAGGCUCUAACCAAACGGACCAGGACCUCUCUGACCAGAUCAAUGACAGCCUGCGAUGGGAUGGAGUUUUGGAGGACCCUGCUGCCGAGGAAGAAAGGCUGCGCAUCUAUAAGCUGAACAGAAGGAAACGUUACGAGCUGUAUAUCCAACAGCACCGGCCCAAAGAACCACAUCAGACACUCGAGCAUCCCCCUUCACCGCAGCGUGCAGCUCCGACCGCAGAUGAGCAAACAGGAAGGGUGGAGGAUUCCUCCAGUUCCUAUAGUCAGGGAGGCCAAGGUGACACGUUCCUGAUAACUGAGCAAGUUACCAGUAUCUGAGCUGUAAUCUGCAGCCAACCCCGUAUUUCUCAGGAAAUUGUGUAAAUUGUCACGGUAUGUUUUUGUGAGCUCUGUACAAGGGACCUUUGUUCAAGGCACUCUUUGAUUAAUUUCCCAUGCCUGCAGAUUGCUUGGUUUUCUUGAUGUGCAUUUGCCAUAUUCAAAUUAACCUUUUAAUAAAAGUUACUUGAAAGAUGGCCAGCAAACCAUUCUUUCAAUGGCUUUAUUAAAAGUGCUACUUUCCAUAACACCCUAUCCUAACAUACUCCCUUUAACUCAGGGGUAGGCAGAAUGUGGCCCAUGGGCCGGAUGCAGCCCACCAGGCCAUUCUAUCCGGCUCACGGGGCCCCUAAAAAUUUAGAAAAGUAAUAUUUAUCUGCCCCAGCUGCCUGUCACGUGGCCCUCGACAGCUUGCUAAAACUCAGUGAGCGGUCCUCCACCCAAAAUAAUAGCCCACCCCAGCUUUAACUGCUCAUAGGUUGUCUGUAAGAAUAGCCACUGGAUUAUCUCAGUGUUUUCCAGACCAAAAAACAUGAACUCAGGAAAUAGGCAAGUAUUAGGAAAUAGGCCCAUAUUACAGAUGGGAAAAUUGAAGCUGUGAGAACCUCCUGGACUUGAUAUCAUGCACAGCAACAUUUCCCACGGGGCCAGCUGCAGAAUGAAGUGGGGUCCAGGGCUCAACACCUGGCUUGCUCUCUCAGUGCAAGAUGGUACUAGUUUGUAGUUAUGAAAGCUCAUUGUAUGAGCUGGCCUAGACCCAGAAGUUUGGGUGAGAAACAAGAACGCUCCCAAACUGAGUUUCUCCUGGGCAGCAGGGUUGUUCUGGUCAGGAUGCUGAUUGCACUGCGGAACUGGCUCUGGAGCAUCCAGCUAGAGGUCCACUUGGCCAACAGGAAUGGAGAAAACCUCAUUCCUGUGCCAUGCUACUGACACCCAUCUUUCCCCACAUCCAAUACCAUCUUUCAUACAGACAUUCAGUGACCACUUUUUACGCAUUCAAAUAAAAAAAAAAAACCACCAUCAGCCAAGGGCAGACUGAAGGCAACACUUUGGAUAGUGGAUUUGAGUGUCUGAAGACACAGGACAUUUAUGUCAUUUCCCUCAGGCAUUCAGAAACGUAUCCCUUUGGCUUUAAAAUACCACUCAAUCCUUGUUUGUCGCUCGGAAGGACUCUUUCGAAUAAGGCUCUGCCGCUUCGCUUAGUAUUGUGACUCUGUACGAUACCCUAGUGCCAUUGCCUCUGAUUGGCAGCAUAGUGCCACAGGCGCUUUUGCGAUGGCGGAGGGCGCUCUGUAACUGUUUCAAGGCUCCCUAGAUUCCAAUAAUGUCAUUACACACGAGUCAAGGGCUUUUGCAAAUGAAUAGGCAAAUGAGGAGUGAAAGAGUAAACAAAAAGCCUAUUAUGAAUUAAUGAACUGGUGCCCCAGUGCAUCGUUCCCACGCUUCCAGCGAUAUGAAAAACAAAAUCCACAGGGCUGGAAAUUCAUAAGUAUUUAACAAGACAUUAGGCAUCGAGGCAGAUAAGAUCAUUUUUCUCCCAAAAGACUAGCCUGUCACACACUAUUAUUUUUAAAGUUCAGCACGUAACAAAAUCUAACCAUGGCUGUAUACCACAGCCGCCACCGUCACAUCUAAGCACCUGAAUUGUCCACAUUUAAAAUCAUUAGUAAAAAAAAAAAAAGUUUUAUCCAAGUACUCGGUGCUUUUGAAAAGGACACAGGCUUCAUGUGAGGAACGUGCCCAAAUACCCCUCAGAAACCAUCUCUUUAAGAAUAAAACUGUACCAGAUGUGAGAGUUAAAUGCCUGCUGGAAAGGAUUUUCAGUUGUCUUAAGGGCAUGUUUUCAAGUGUUUUAAUAAACUGAUAAAGCCAUCACAUUUGUAUUACAUUUUUACAGGCCAUUUUAUACUUGAAAUGGCUUACUAGAAAGGUUUAACAACAGAAAGGUUUGAUAGAAGGGACACAACAGGGGAGCUAAGGUCUGUUGGAUAUAAUAGAUCUUUAUUUCUAGGUAAAUAGUAUAAUAAAUGAUACCUUAAACUUCCAAGUACCCACCACUGGCCUCAGUAACAGCUCCCAGCCAGCAAGCGCUGCACAGAUGAACCAGCCGUUCGUGACACCAUUUUGCAUUCAAAACCAAUCGCUAGCUGAUCAGGCUCUGAUUAAGAGAGACAGACUCCCCUUGAAUUACGGUUUUCAGAUAAUUUAUUACUAGUGAAAUGAAAAAAAAAAAAGCAAGCUGAAAAUGAGGGGUGAGAAAUGUUGCAGACGUCAGAAGACAUCUGGCACAGUGAUUGUUGGGGCUUUGCAAACCGAGUAACAUGAGCGAUUUGGAAAAGGCAUCCAUCCUCCACCAAUUAAAACCUUUUAAAAGUACACAGAGAAACGGUUUGUUUUAAAAACAGGUGUUUGAACACAUGACACAACGUGAGGUUCUUUUGAUUCCUGAUUUACCUAGAAACAAGGAAUGGUUCCAAGUUUGAAGAACGCCUCUCUCCGGCUCUCUACUCCCAGGCUCACAGGGUAGCGAUGCCAGAGCAAACCAGGGAACCAAUCUGUUUCAUCAUCCUAUCUCCACAAUGGUUGUUUCAGGAGGAAGGUGCCAGAAACCACAAAAUAAGCAAUUAUCAAAUACCCCUGCCCACGGGAAAGCUUUGUCCUGAACUCCUCCUCACACUCAGAGCCUAGAGCAAACACUUUCUCUGAUUGACAGUGCUUUUAAGAAAGAUUUAAGGAACGAUCUCAGAAUAAACCUGUUUUGUGUAGAACAGGAUCAGGGCCUCUGGUGCUAAGCUCUGCUGCUCACUACAGUCGUUCUUGAGCGACUUCUGCCCCAAUUCAGCGGGGUGAAUCAUGUCACAAUCGGAUUUGUCCCGCCCAGGGUCUCUUAUGGAUCCAGCUAGUCAACCUCAGCCUCCUGCACCUCCCCUGGAAGCGUUUUAGGACGUCUGGCUUGUGGAGUAGGUAACAAAGAUGAAAGAAACAACUGAUUCAAUGAAUAAAUAAGUAAAAAACAAAACAGAA